UCACCCUAGAAAAAUUCUAGGAAAUCAGACUGUAUUAAGCCAAUACACUAAUUCAUACAGCAGCCAAAUCAAGAGAAAAGAGUUCCAUAGCCACAUUCAAGAGUCCAUUAAAGCUCCACUGAAAAACAAGCUACUGCUGAUUUCAAGGGGGGAUUACAGAGCAAAAGGAGGAGUGUUUUGAAUCCUGAUGUAACAAAGAGGUACAAAGAUUGAGAGGUCAAUGAAUAAGGACCGUGAGUCAGUGAGUUUCCAGAAUCAGCUUGUCCUUGCAGACAUUUUUUUUUUUCAAUCUCAUUGAAAGAACUGGCACAUGAGGAUCUUCUGAUCUGCACCAUGGCAAUCAGAUCAGUUACAUAGGGUUGCAGGUGGUAAGAAGAAUGCAGGAGGAUCUGGCUUGGGUUCCAUCUGGCAAGGAAGGAAGAUACUUUAGCAGAAGAACCAGAUGCUACUUUGGAGCUUUGUGGCCUAGCACAGAUUUUUCAUUUUGGAAUUUAAACCACUUAAAAUGAAAACUUACAACCCCGGAUUCUGGACAUUUGUACAACUUGAGGUAAGAAAACAAACCUUGCAAAGCAAAUAGGAACAGUGAUUCCUCCUAAAUCCUAAAUAAGCUCUAGUGUUUACUGUGGGAA
rnacentral:lncRNA from 1 species